rnacentral:rRNA from 1 species
AACCAGCACCUCAAGUGGUCAGGAGAAUUAUUGGGCCUAAAGCAUCCGUAGCCGGCUCUCUAAGUUUUUGGUUAAAUCUAUGUGCUCAACGCAUAGGCCGCCGAAAAUACUGAAGAGCUAGGGAGUGGGAGAGGUAGACGGUACUUGAUAGGAAGGGGUAAAAUCUUUUGAUCUAUCGAUGACCACCUGUUGCGAAGGCGCCACACUAGAACGGAUCCGACGGUCAGGGACGAAGCCUAGGGGCACGAACCGG